rnacentral:lncRNA from 1 species
GGUCAUAAACCUAACAAUCUCCACUUGACCCAAACUUCAGUGCAACGAAUGAAGCUCCAAAAUUUUUCUACUUGAAAAAAUAUGUCCAACUGCAUCGAAAUAAUCGAACUCUUUAAAAUAGUAACCAAAACUCUUAAUCACAAAAAGAAAACAUCUUCAUCUGCCCGGUGUCCACAAGCGACACCCGAACCCAACUCUCGAAUUCCCAAAAUUCCACCAAUAAAUUACUGUUGACCAAAUAUGGUCAAAGCACACUUUGUAGCAAAAACCACACCAAAUGCCUAAUUAGAAGGCCCUUUGCUAUAACUUUCACAUUCAAUGAGCAUGAAAGCAUUACAUAUAUUGCUGAUACCGCUGUACCUAUGCUCUAUGAGUCCAAUCCUAGCAACUGAACAUAGUGUAUCCGUUGAAAUUGGUGACAAAACGAAAUCAUCAAUGCUCCCCUGAGCAAUGCUUUAAAUCGACCCAGAGUUCGACACAAGAAGUACUGUAACAAGUUGAAUAUUCACCACGGUACUGAACUUGUACAAAUGUCUCUUAACUGGUGUUGACACACUAAAAGUACAGCUCAAAUCAAAUAGCCCAAAGAGUGAAGCUCAAUUGGGGAAUCCAGGAUAAAGGUCCAAACAGGAUUAUUGAUGAAUGCGGUGGAAGCUCACGAACACGGUAACAUCAUCGCCCAAACUUGCAAAACGCCCAGAAUCUGAGCAAAUGGAGUACCUUACGGUCGCCUAGAGCGAUGACCCCGUUCUCGCCCAAACCUUCGAAUUGCCCAGGAUCUUAGCAAUCAUAAAACAUUAUGGUUAUCCAGAAUAGCAGUUAUAGAGUGAUCUUAUCACAUUCCACGAUUCAAGGAGCCCAGUUGAAGGCGGUUGAACGACAAAGAGUAAUGGUAACAGUUAGAUACGGCAGUUCCACGAUAAGUUAGCCACCAUAAAGAAAGUGGAUAGUUAUACAACAAUCAAGCAAUUUCCAAGGGGUUUGUUAUGAAAAAAUCAUCAAGGGAAUAUAAAAGGAAGAGAAGACAUAGAGAAAAGCUCCCAAAUCAAACACUCUCAAAUAGAGAAUAUGUAAUUUCGGUUUCUUAAUUUAAACUUAAACACUUCUUUUAAUACUCGUGUGCUUGCGCCCCUUGGAGGCAUUAUGUUAUUUCCAAUUGUAAAUCAAUCGCCAAUAAAGUACCCCUUUUUGGGACUUUGUCUCAAGAGUCUGUUCCUUACACAAUUGUCUGAUCCUUUUUUAAUUAUUAGCGACUACCCGCGCGAAACAAUUUGACAUGCCUGGUGGGACAUUGGUGUUUGGUGUUGAAGAUACAAAAGGUGAAACAAUAUGCCUCACAAAUCUGAUAAGGAAGCAGCAAGUCAGGGAGGAGUCCAAUCUGUGAUCGAGCGAUAUGAGGAGCAGCAAAGCUCUCCACGAACAGAGAGAUAGAGUCAGAGCAGUCACAGUCGUUACGAACUAAUGACAGAGUUGAGUCCUUGAACCAUGCGUGCAUUGCUUGGAGAACUCACACAGGAUGUCGUUGAACAGGUAAAUCUACGAAAUGUUCAUAAUAUGGAAAGAUUUACUCAGAAUGAGAAUGCACAUUAUGACAACAUGGCCAAACAACUGAAUACAUUAAAUGAAAUAAUGAAUAAGUUAGUAGGCCAAAUUUGUCAGCCAGUUGUGCCUAUUGCAAAUCACUUUCAAAUUAGGACAAUCGUGGGACAUAAUUUCCCAGUCCUAAGUCCAAAUCAGGGGAUAGAACCACCUUUUGGUCCACC